UACGAAGGGUGCAAACGUUGCUCGGAAUUAUUGGGCGUAAAGCGCACGUAGGCGGCUUGGCAAGUCGGACGUGAAAUCCCUUGGCUCAACCAAGGAAGUGCAUCCGAAACUGCUGAGCUUGAGUACGAAAGAGGAUCGCGGAAUUCCCGGUGUAGAGGUGAAAUUCGUAGAUAUCGGGAGGAACACCAGUGGCGAAGGCGGCGAUCUGGGUCGAUACUGACGCUGAGGUGCGAAAGCGUGGGGAGCAAACAGG
rnacentral:rRNA from 1 species